CUUCAUUCCUUUCUUUCAUAAAUCAUAGUCUUCACUCUCUCCCUCUCUGCAACUUUUUUCCCCCUGCUAGCAGCAUUAAAAUUUCUCCAAAUAUAAGGUAUGAAAAAGAAGUUCGGUCAAUCGUGCUUAAAAAUUACUUUUUAGCUGCUUCUUUUGAUAACAUGUAAGUCGAGACAUACUGUCAAAAGAAGCAGCUUAAAAAACUAAUCCAUAUUUGACUUAUUCAAGAAAACAUCUUGUUGCAGGCUUUAGGUAUGGUGAAACCAUCCAUAUUCAUGGGUGCCUCAAAGCUUCGAAAAACAGGGAACCUUGAUCAGAAAGACGACGAUAUCUUGAUUGAUCCAACGGUGAAAAAUGGCCUUCAGUUGGCUGCAUGUUCAUCUUAGUUUGGUGCUAUCCUACCUGAGCUUUUUUAUUACUCCGACCCUUCAUUUUUAUUUUUAUUUUCAUUUUUUUACUUGUUGCCUUUUGUUUUUCUUCGACGUUUUGUCUUCUUGACCUUGUAAGACCUUUUCUUGACCUUGUAAGACCCCUCCUACUGUUUACUACCAUCAAUUUUUGUUGUGUUUCAAAUUUUGUGCCGGAGUUUUCCAGUGUAAGAUUUGACCAUUUUCUUUCUUCGUUCUCGCCCAACUCAUGUUCUCCUUCCUUGUCUAUCCCUCCUGAGCUAUUCGAAGUAGACAUAAUACGAGUAUCUCGUCCCAGAAAUCUACCUAGAGAAGAUCAAGAAACUCUCCGAAGAUCAUAUAAUUAGCACUGGUGAUCUGAAACUCAAUUUGUCCAUUGAUGUAAAAGUGUACCAAAAGAGUAUUUACUCAAGUUAGGUACUGAUUAUAUAUAAAAUUUAUAAUCGAUAUUCUUCUGUCUAUUAUAUGCAUAUAUACAAACAAUAUGUAUUCUUUUGAAUUUGAAUUGUUUUACAUGAGCAUAUAGCUGAUAUUUUCUUUCUUGAUUGCA
rnacentral:lncRNA from 1 species